AGCGAACGCUGGCGGCAGGCCUAACACAUGCAAGUCGAACGGCAGCACGGACUUCGGUCUGGUGGCGAGUGGCGAACGGGUGAGUAACACAUCGGAACGUGCCCAGUUGUGGGGGAUAACUACUCGAAAGAGUAGCUAAUACCGCAUGAGAACUGAGGUUGAAAGCAGGGGAUCGUAAGACCUUGCGCAACUGGAGCGGCCGAUGGCAGAUUAGGUAGUUGGUGGGAUAAAAGCUUACCAAGCCGACGAUCUGUAGCUGGUCUGAGAGGACGACCAGCCACACUGGGACUGAGACACGGCCCAGACUCCUACGGGAGGCAGCAGUGGGGAAUUUUGGACAAUGGGCGAAAGCCUGAUCCAGCAAUGCCGCGUGCAGGAUGAAGGCCUUCGGGUUGUAAACUGCUUUUGUACGGAACGAAAAGCUUCGGGCUAAUACCCUGGAGUCAUGACGGUACCGUAAGAAUAAGCACCGGCUAACUACGUGCCAGCAGCCGCAGUAAUAC
rnacentral:rRNA from 1 species